rnacentral:rRNA from 1 species
AAAAGAAACUUAAGUAUACGGUGGAUGCCUUGGGUCUUUGUGCCGAUGAAGGACGUACAAGACUGCGAUAAGCCUCGAGGAGCUGUCAAGAAGCGCUAUAACUCGGGGAUUUCCGAAUGGGGAAACCCGACCCGCUUAGCGGGUCAUCUAUUACUGAAGUUUUCUGCUUUUGCAGGAUUAUAGGUAAUAGGAAGGGAACUCAGCGAACUGAAACAACUUAGUAGCUGGAGGAAUAAAAACCAAGUUUAUCCCGCUUAGCGGGAGUAGGUAUUUCCUUAGUAGCGGCGAGCGAAAGGGAAGAAGCCCAAACCUAAGAUUAAUGACUUCUAAAGAUUAACUUCUAACUUCUGACGGGUAAUUUAUUAUCUGUUAGUCGUUAUUAGUUAGUAGUUAGAAGUUACUUAGGGGUUUUGGACAAUCUACGUGCUAUGUAACAGGAGCAAAGAAGUUACAAAUUAUUUUCGUAGAAGAAGUUGGCUGGAAAGCUGCGCCAUAGAAGGUAAUAGCCCUGUAUUCGAAACGGAAAUAACUUCUUAGGUUGAUCCGGAGUAACACGGGACACGAGAAACCCCGUGCGAAGAUAGCUGGACCAUCAGCAAAGGCUAAAUACACAAAGACACCGNNGUGAAAUAGAACCUGAAACCGUAUACUUACAAGCUGGUAAAGCCCCGCUUAGCGGGGUGAUGCCGUGCCUAUUGAAGAAUGAGCCAACGAGUUAUUGAUAUGUGCAAGCUUAAUCCGCUCAGCGGAGGAGGCGUAGGGAAACCAAAUGUCUGCUAACGCAGACAGGGUCUUAACCGGCCUGUUAGUACAUAUCAGUAGACCCGAAGCCGUGUGAGCUAACCAUGGGCAGGAUGAGCCCCGCCGAAAGGCGGGGGGAGGUCCGAACCGGUGUAUGUGGCAAAAUGCUCGGAUGACCUGUGGUUAGAGGUGAAACGCUUAACGCACUCGGCUAUAGCUGGCUCUCCCCGAAAUAUAUUUGGGUAUAGCCUCAAUCUUUAAACGUCUGUGAGGUAGAGAUACUGGAAAGAGAUGCGGCGCGCAAGCGUACGCACUUUUACCAAACUCCGAAUGCGCAGACUGUGGAUUGGGAGUCAGCACUGGGGAGCAAGUUCCUGGUGCGAGAGGGAAACAGCCCGGACCAUCAGCUAAGGUCCCUAAUCUUUGCUUAGUGGGUAAGGAAGUGGAAUUGUUUAGACAGCUAGGAGGUUGGCUUAGAAGCAGCCAUCCUUUAAAGAAAGCGUAANNCGUAACAGCUCACUAGUUAAACGGUUCCGCGCCGAUGAUUUAACGGGGCUCAAGCAAAGUACCGACGCUAUGGCCCCGCCGUAAGGCGGGGGGUAGGGGAGCAUUGAUAUCUGCUGUGAAGGCAGACCCGCGAGGGCUGCUGGAGCGUUAUCAAGAGAGAAUGUUGGCAUGAGUAACGAGAGGGUGGUGAAAACCCACCCCGCCGAAAGUCUAAGGUUUCCUCCGCUAUGUCAGUCAACGGAGGGUUAGCCGGUCCUAAGGUGAGGCCGAAAGGCGUAGCUGAUGGACAGCAGGUUAAUAUUCCUGCGCUGUUGUAAGAACGUUAUUACGAUGGAGGGACGGAGUUUGACGUUUCGAGCCCAUUAAGGAUUUGGGUUCCAAAGGCAAGGUAGUUUGUAUAGGCAAAUCCGUACAAACGUUUUAAGCCAAGCCCUAGGAAGAAGUUCCACUUCGGUGGGAUCAUUCGAUCGCGUUAAGCUUCCAGGAAAAGCUUCUAAGGAUCUGCCUAACGGCAGACUUGGUUCUUACAGCAUCCGUACCGCAAUCCGACACAGGUAGAUGGGUAGAGAAUACUAAGGCGAACGAGAUAACCGUGGUUGAGGAACUAGGCAAUUUACAUCCGUAACUUUGGGAAAAGGAUGCCCCCGCUUAGCGGGGGGGCACAGAAAUGGCUCAAGCGACUGUUUAAUAAAAACACAGGUCUCUGCUAAACUCGUAAGAGGAUGUAUAGGGGCCGACGCCUGCCCAGUGCCCGUAAGUCAAGAUCUGGGGUGAUCCCCGCCAUCGGCGGGGUGAGCUCUGGGUUUAAGCUCGGGUGAACGGCAGCAGUAACUAUAACUGUUCUAUGGUGAACGUACGCGCCG